GACGAACGCUGGCGGCGUGCUUAACACAUGCAAGUCGAACGAAGUGGCGAACGGGUGAGUAACGCGUAAUCAACCUGCCCUUCAGAGGGGGACAACAGUUGGAAACGACUGCUAAUACCGCAUACUGAUGAUGGGGAUUGCGUCGGAUUAGCUAGUUGGAGGGGUAACGGCCCACCAAGGCGAUGAGAAGUAGGCGGUCUGGGAGGAUGAACGGCCAAAUUGGGACUGAGAGACGGCCCAGGCUCCUACGGGAGGCAGCAGUGGGGAAUCUUCCGCAAUGGACGAAAGUCUGACGGAGCAACGCCGCGUGAGUGAUGACGGCCUUCGGGUUGGAAAGCUCUGUUAAUCGGGACGCGGUACCGGAAUAGAAAGCCACGGCUAACUACGUGCCAGCAGCCGCGGUAAUUC
rnacentral:rRNA from 1 species